rnacentral:rRNA from 1 species
CACGUAGGCGGCCUUGUAAGUUGGGGGUGAAAUCCCGGGGCUCAACCCCGGAACUGCCUCCAAAACUACAAAGCUAGAGGAUGUGAGAGGAUAGUGGAAUUCCGAGCGUAGAGGUGAAAUUCGUAGAUAUUCGGAAGAACACCAGUGGCGAAGGCGACUGUCUGGCACAUUUCUGACGCUGAGGUGCGAAAGCGUGGGGAGCAAACA